UAUAUAUUGUGGCAUCCCGCCACUCAAACCUCGACCCGGACCAGCCCGAGGGUUGGUCCUGGAUGGCCGAUACCACCGUCACCCACCAGCCGGCGACGGAGAGCACCGACCGAACCCCAAUCAGCGAGAUUGGGGGACACCUGGCCGAAAGCCGAGGAGCCAUUUUUAAUGGAGCACGAGGACUGACAUUUGGGCAGACCAGGAACGGGAGCGAGGGAGGAGGAAGUGCUCGGGUCCGUGAGCAGCUAGAGGCCCACGGAGGCCCUAGAGACCGUCUAUCAUGGAUAUUUAACUGCAGUUCUGUGAGUAUCCCAACUUAACCAUGAAGAUGAACUGCAAACUGUAAGUCAUUAUUUUCUCAUUACUUUGGGCACAUUGAUGUAUUUUGGCUUCCUGGUGAGUUAACCUGUUAACCUGAAGGUUGAUCUGAGUAAUAAGGAUGUUUUAUUGGUUCAUGGGUUACUUAGGUGUUUGGUUUAUGUUGGUUUUAAUGAUUUGUUAAAAUGUUUCAGGCUCCAAGUUAUUGUUGUAAGAUGGAGUAAUGGGUUGGGUUCUGAUGUCUUCAGUCUUCUUUCAUUCUACUCUCCUGAGCUCUGCAUCUUCAACACAUGAGUGUUGCUUUACUGACGAGGCUGUGGUCUGAGUGAGCAGAGGUGCAUACUGGGAUACAGAGCUGUCUGAAGUCUACAGGUCUGUAGACACGCCCCCUCAGGGGAAACCGAGUGUUUGAGAAACUGUUGUGACGUCAGUUACAUGGACUGGAAUGUUCUUUAAGAUGGAGACAGGGAUUCAGAAGGAGAAACACCAGGGGGAGAUGAGGGGGCUCCUCAUCUCAACGACUAAAACACAACUUCAGUCUGACACGGAGAACCACGGAACACAUUCAACAGUCCCCUCAGGCAUCGUGACUCCUCAGGAACAGUUUCAUUUCCAAGAAGGUCUUAAUUGGGGCCAUCCCCAUAUGGAUCCUGCUCCUCAAGAGCCACCCCCGUCCACUGGGUGGUCUUCUGAACAGAUGACCUCCUUCCUGCCCUCAGGCUGACUAAAGCUGCACCGUUUGCAUCUGUGAAGGCCCCUCAUUCAGGAAACCACUGGACUACAAAGACAUGACUUCAGAGACGUUGAAUCAACCUGGGACACAUUUUGGAGACGCCAAGCAUAAUCCAUCACCAAUGUGGGACGCCACUGAAGAAAGUUGUACAUAAUUUACGUCUCUGGAGCAUUGGUUGUUCUGUUAUGGGUGCCCUGGCAGGAGAGCUGGGGGGGAGAUGGAAUGUUAUUUGGCAUGAGGUUUUUACCCUGCAUGAUUGUUUGGCCUUUUAUGGCUCAGUGGUGUGUGUGUGUUUGGGUUUGACAUGAGAUGGAAGAUUUUUGAGAAUCGCGAGGGUUCUACUGUGUGUGUGUGUGUGUGUGUGUGGGUCUCCCACUCACACCUGGCAUGGGGUUCACAGUGCCUGUCCUGGGUUCUAUGUUUGUGUGUCCGGCUUGCUUUGACAGUGAUAAUGUUCAUACGGGGGUCUUUGUGAUUGGUGUGGGAUAUUGGAAUGGUCAACUAAAUCAUACCUGAUGGACGGCCACACGUUUACUUAAAGGCCUCCAGUAGACAUGAAGAGCCCUGAGCGACGCUCCGGAGCGAGAUCCAACACACUGGGCAGGAAGGAGGGUAUCCAACUCAAGUGUAAAAGGAUGCAAGCGGCGUGUUCAGAUCAGUGACUUCAAACUAGGACUACACCAAUCAGGAUCAAUGGAGGAUGGACACCUAAAGGAAUUCCACAAGGAGAGUCUGACGUUGGAAAUGGACCUAAAUGGAUAUUCAAGAUGACCUUCAGACCUGUAAUGAGACGUCUCUUCCUUCCUGGCUGGAUUGAAGGAGAGCCCUGUGGAUCUUGUCUUGCUCUCAGUUGCACGUCUUCUCAGGCUGAACUGUAUUUGUUUCGGACAGGACUAGCUGAACGAUUGGUUCCCUUAAAUCAGAACCAAUCCGGGAACUCCAGCUAGUGCGCUCUUCGAGCUGAAGUUGUGCUCUUCAGCUGAGGAGGUAAGGAAACCUUCACUGGGGCUUCAAGGUGUAAAGAGGGGAAUGUUUCAAGUGUUCCAUGGCACUCUGAUGAAGACCGUUGUUGUGUUCCACUGGCUGAGAGGAAGAACCCACACAUCUUCCUCUUGGCCUUUCUCCUCUGAGAAUCCUGGCGCCAUCUUGAAGGAUAUUCCAGUUCAUGUAACUGAUGUCACGACAGAUUCUCAAACACUUGGUUUCUCCUGAGGGGCGUGUCCAUAGAACUGAAGACUUCAGACAGCACUGUAUCCCAGCAUGCAUCUCUGCUCACUCAGACCACACCCCCAUGAGUAGGAUGCAACGCUCUAGUGAUGGAGAUGUAGAGUUUUAUAAGUAACGAGGGAGCAGACUAAGGUGAUUAGAACACAAUGGCAUGUCAAGUCUGUAAAUAUUUAAACCAUGAAGAUAGUCACUGGACCUGUACAUGUGUUGGCUGGCAUGAUUUGCUGUUGGUCAUGAGGCAGUCAGGGUGACGUUGCAGGGCUAUGGUCGGCUCUCUGUGAGCUCAACGUUUAGAUUUGCUCUGAAUAGUUUGUACCCUGAAUUUAGAUAAUUGUAAAAUGUAGACAAGGUUUUGUAUUGAAAGAUUUUAGGUUUAAAGUUGUUGUGGGACGUACAUGGUAGUUUUGUUCUUCGUAUGGUUUUGUGUGGUAUAACUUGUACACACUGGGUGCAUAAUAAUAUAAAGGUACACUGAAUAGUAGUAAUUACCAACAGCAACAAACAGAUCUCCUCAAGGUAAGUCUGUUGGCUGUGUUUUAAUGUAGACCAUCGCUGGACUUCAGGAUCUUCCUCCGUUCAGCUCAAGGUGAGGCGCUGGUUCUGUUUUUUCUUUGGUUGGUUCCGGCCGGAAUGUUCGUAUUCCAGUCGGACGGUUUGUGCUUCCCGCCGUGGAGGUUUUUGAGUGCGGUCACUUUAUUUAGACCCAAUGGUUAGCAUAGAACGUUGUAGUCUUGACAACCAUAAGAAACCACCAGGCAGUUAGUUGGACGGGAGUCCCCUGAGGGAAUCUGGCGGAACGUUCUGGAUUGUAUUUGCGUAACCUCGAGCCGUUGCCAACGGAAACUAUUUUUCAGUCGGUUUACAUUUGGAAUUGUUGCCCCUAUCUUAAACAAAUUAAGUUUGAUAUUAAUUACAUACUGACACGUACGUCGUACAAUGCGUUAAUUUUCGAUGGUUGCGACGUACUUUUAACCACGAUGACGUUGCGGGACUCUUACUGCGUACAAAACGGCGUUCUACUUGCGGGCCCAUUUUUGACGGGCUGAAGGCUGAAAAUCAUUUCAAGGUGGAAGAUAAUUUGACAUUUCUUCAACGGAACCCAGCACCUGAAUAUGGCUGAGUAUAUUUGAUUUAAUAUUGAUACUGCUUAGUGUUCUUCGUUACUUCAGCUUUUGUACGUUCUUAAUAUCUGCUGUCAUUAAUUGCCACAGAAGUUAAACCCUACCCAAUUUAAUGACGUUAAACAAUGACUUUGGUGCAGAGUUACUAACUGGUUAAUAUCAAAGCUAAAAUAAUGGCCGUCAUUCCCACAUGUUACAGUAGAAGAUACUCUAGAACUGUACGAGGUUAAAAAGGUAACAUGUAGUUUGUCCCAAGGUGUCUGCCUCCUCCCCCAGAGCAAGAUCUCCACCUCCUCACCCAGAGCCAGACCUCCACCUCCUCACCCAGAGCCAGACCUCCACCUCCUCACCCAGAGCCAGACCUCCACCUCCUCACCCAGAGCCAGACCUCCACCUCCUCACCCAGAGCCAGACCUCCACCUCCUGUCAGAAGUCCUCCAGAACAGCUGAAAGGCGAGUCUGAGAGGCUGGGGACCGGAGGCUUGUGGUGCUAGGAUGGACCUGAGGCUGGAGACCAGGGGCCUGCAGCACCGGACCAGACGACCAGGAAUCCAUGUCUGAAGGAGCUGAUGGAGGAGCCGUGCUGAUGGAGGAGUCGUGCUGAAGGCCCUGCCUUGUGGAGGACCUGCCUGGUGAAGGACGUCUGUCGUGGGACCAGGACUCUGUCUGAGGAGAGCUGCUGGAGGAGCUGAGACGCUGGAGGACGACUAGGAAUCGACCAACAAGGAUUCCUCAACGUGUUUCUGGAGCGGAGGCGAGCUGAUAGGGGAGCCGUGAAUCUGGAGGAUGACCAUCACUCUACCAACAAGGAUUGGAAACCAGGACUCUGGCUGAGGAGAGCUGAUGGAGGAGCCAAGACUCUGGAGGACGACAUCACUCCACCAACCAGGAUCCUCACCAGGAAUCUGGAGGACUGAUGGAGAAGCCGUACAUCUGGAAGGCAAAUCCUGAGGACCACCAGGACUCUACCAUCAAGGAUUCCUCAUAAGUUUGCAUCAUCUGGACAUAGUGGACUAGACACACCUGAGCUGAACCUCACCUGAUCCUGUUUGUCGGGGGCAGACACACCUGAGCUGAACCCCAACAGAUCCUGAUAUCCUGCUGGUCCCGUCUCCUCAGUUCAUCUGAGCCUCGUCGUCCAGAAGACCUGCUGAGCUCAGCAGUCUGAGGCUGAUGGAUCAAUGACCUCCAGUGGGAGUGAUCUUCUUGACCACACAUGUAACCGUGUGCUUCCACACGCCUUUCCCUCACGUCUGUCACUAACCUCACUACUUCACUACUCUCUACUGCUUCCUCUUUUUCUUUCUCUGUGGUUCGAACCUUUACACGGAAGGCGCGUCUUCCUGCCCUCAGAGGGUUCAGCGUUAGGGUUGAGAGUCAGGGUUUAGAGUCAGGGACAGAGCUGGUCAGGGAGGACUGCUUUUACGCAAACCACUUCACUUGCUUUCGGAAUGAUGGUGACAUUUUGAAAAGAUUCAUUUGGGAAAAUGUUUUCCUCUGCUUUCCUUUACAAAAUUGUAUUAAACAUCUGUCAAGUGUUUUGGUUUAUAUAUUAAAAUCCCACAUUGACUUCUACAUGUUUGGUGCGGUUCAUUUAAUUGUCCUUUAACUUGGUUAAUGUCAAGCUAAACUCCUAAACUACUGUUCUCUCUUGUUUCAAGCACACGGUUGACCAGCCGUUGCUUAAGAAACAUAACCUGGAUGUUAACUGCCCAAAUAACUACCGUCCCAUAUCUAAACUACCAUUAGACAAAAAAAUAUAUGUUUGGCUUUUUAAGCCCAAAUGCCAUCAUUAUGUGCAAUAAAACUAAAAACAGACUGAAAACAGUCAAGUAAGAGCUUGUGCCUUUUGGAAUACUAACAGUGCUCAUUUGCAUUCAACUUGUAACAAAAUUCAAGUGACAUAAACAAAAUGAAGUAUUGAUUAGACAGUGAUUUAUUAGAUGGGCCUACCUAAUAAACCGUUGGAACGCACAAGACCGGAAACCAUAGCAACGCCGGUAAACAAACCCUGAGAAGCCCAAUCCCUAUGAGAGCUCCCCGCGCUACGGCCAUCCGGAGGUGCACAGAGCUGUUGGCCGUGAUAUACU